GGUGAACGCUGGCGGCGUGCCUAAUACAUGCAAGUCGAGCGAACAGACGAGGAGCUUGCUCCUCUGAUGUUAGCGGCGGACGGGUGAGUAACACGUGGAUAACCUACCUAUAAGACUGGGAUAACUUCGGGAAACCGGAGCUAAUACCGGAUAAUAUAUUGAACCGCAUGGUUCAAUAGUGAAAGACGGUCUUGCUGUCACUUAUAGAUGGAUCCGCGCUGCAUUAGCUAGUUGGUAAGGUAACGGCUUACCAAGGCGACGAUGCGUAGCCGACCUGAGAGGGUGAUCGGCCACACUGGAACUGAGACACGGUCCAGACUCCUACGGGAGGCAGCAGUAGGGAAUCUUCCGCAAUGGGCGAAAGCCUGACGGAGCAACGCCGCGUGAGUGAUGAAGGUCUUCGGAUCGUAAAACUCUGUUAUUAGGGAAGAACAAAUGUGUAAGUAACUAUGCACGUCUUGACGGUACCUAAUCAGAAAGCCACGGCUAACUACGUG
rnacentral:rRNA from 1 species